rnacentral:rRNA from 1 species
AGCCUGGUGCUUGCACCGGGUGGAUGAGUGGCGAACGGGUGAGUAACACGUGAGUAACCUGCCCCUGACUUCGGGAUAAGCCCGGGAAACUGGGUCUAAUACCGGAUACGACUGCCGGACGCAUGUCUGGUGGUGGAAAGUUUUUUCGGUUGGGGAUGGGCUCGCGGCCUAUCAGUUUGUUGGUGAGGUAAUGGCUCACCAAGACGACGACGGGUAGCCGGCCUGAGAGGGCGACCGGCCACACUGGGACUGAGACACGGCCCAGACUCCUACGGGAGGCAGCAGUGGGGAAUAUUGCACAAUGGGGGAAACCCUGAUGCAGCGACGCAGCGUGCGGGAUGACGGCCUUCGGGUUGUAAACCGCUUUCAGCAGGGAAGAAGCGCCAGUGACCGUACCUGCGUAAAAAGUACCGGCUAACUACAUGCCCCCAGCCGCGGUAAUACGUAGGGGACAAGCGUUGUCCGGAAUUAUUGGGCGUAAAGAGCUCUCAUGUGGUUGGUCACGUCUGCUGUGGAAACGCAACGCUUAACGUUGCGCGUGCGCUGCGUACGGGCUGACUAGAGUGCACUAGGGGAGUCUGGAAUUCCUGGUGUAUCGGUGAAAUGCGCACAUAUCUCGAGGAACACCGGUGGCGAAAGC